rnacentral:rRNA from 1 species
GAACGCUGGCGGCGUGCCUAAUACAUGCAAGUAGAACGCUGAAGAGAGGAGCUUGCUCUUCUUGGAUGAGUUGCGAACGGGUGAGUAACGCGUAGGUAACCUGCCUGGUAGCGGGGGAUAACUAUUGGAAACGAUAGCUAAUACCGCAUAAUAGUAGAUGUUGCAUGACAUUUGCUUAAAAGGUGCAAUUGCAUCACUACCAGAUGGACCUGCGUUGUAUUAGCUAGUUGGUGAGGUAACGGCUCACCAAGGCAACGAUACAUAGCCGACCUGAGAGGGUGAUCGGCCACACUGGGACUGAGACACGGCCCAGACUCCUACGGGAGGCAGCAGUAGGGAAUCUUCGGCAAUGGACGGAAGUCUGACCGAGCAACGCCGCGUGAGUGAAGAAGGUUUUCGGAUCGUAAAGCUCUGUUGUAAGAGAAGAACGAGUGUGAGAGUGGAAAGUUCAC